rnacentral:rRNA from 1 species
CCCUUAGAUGUUCUGGGCCGCACGCGCGCUACACUGAUGCAUUCAACGAGUCUAAAACCUGCUCUGAUAGGGGUGGGUAAUCUUUUGAAUGUGCAUCGUGAUUGGGAUAGAUGAUUGCAAUUUUUCAUCUUCAACGAGGAAUUCCUAGUAAGCGCGAGUCAUCAGCUCGCGUUGAUUACGUCCCUGCCCUUUGUACACACCGCCCGUCGCUCCUACCGAUUGAAUGGUCCGGUGAAAUCUUCGGAUUGCUGACCAAGAUCCAGCAAUGGAGCUUGGUUGCGAGAAGUUGAUUAAACCUUAUUAUUUAGAGGAAGGAGGAGUCGUAACA